UGCGGUCAGGCCAGCAUCAGUUCGAGCGGUCGGAUAAAGGCGCCGGGAAUGUAGCUCCUCUCGGGGAGUGUUAUAGCCCGGCGUGGAAUGCGACCUGCUCGGACUGAGGAUCUCGCUUCGGCUAGGAUGCUGGCGUAAUGGUUGUAAGCGGCCCGUCUUGAAACACGGACCAAGGAGUCUAACAUCUAUGCGAGUGUUUGGGUGUCAAACCCAUGCGCGUAAUGAAAGUGAACGGAGGUGGGAACCCGCAAGGGCGCACCAUCGACCGAUCCUGAUGUCUUCGGAUGGAUUUGAGUAUGAGCAUAGCUGUUGGGACCCGAAAGAUGGUGAACUAUGCCUGAAUAGGGUGAAGUCAGAGGAAACUCUGAUGGAGGCUCGCAGCGGUUCUGACGUGCAAAUCGAUCGUCAAAUUUGGGUAUA
rnacentral:rRNA from 1 species